rnacentral:rRNA from 1 species
GAUGAACGCUGGCGGCGUGCUUAACACAUGCAAGUCGAACGGAAAGGCCGAAGCUUGCUUCGGUACUCGAGUGGCGAACGGGUGAGUAACACGUGGGUGAUCUGCCCUGUACUUCGGGAUAAGCUUGGGAAACUGGGUCUAAUACCGGAUAUGACGAUCUCUUGGAUGGGGUUGUGGAAAGCUUUUGCGGUAUGGGAUGAGCUCGCGGCCUAUCAGCUUGUUGGUGGGGUAAUGGCCUACCAAGGCGUCGACGGGUAGCCGGCCUGAGAGGGUGUACGGCCACAUUGGGACUGAGAUACGGCCCAGACUCCUACGGGAGGCAGCAGUGGGGAAUAUUGCACAAUGGGCGCAAGUCUGAUGCAGCGACGCCGCGUGGGGGAUGACGGCCUUCGGGUUGUAAACUCCUUUCGCAAUCGACGAAGCCUUUUGGUGACGGUAGGUUGAGAAGAAGCACCGGCUAACUACGUG